UCCCUUGUGGCUCAGCUGGUAAAGCAUCCAUCUGCAAGGUGGGAGACCUGGGUUCGAUCCCUGGGUUGGGAA
rfam:TPA: Bos taurus chromosome 6, whole genome shotgun sequence.